rnacentral:miRNA from 1 species
AUUCAUAUUAGGUUGGUGCAAAAGUAAUUGAGCUUUUUACCGUUACUUUCAAUGGCAAAAACUGCAAUGACUUUUGCACCAACCUAA